rnacentral:tRNA from 1 species
CAGAAGUUAGGCAUAAUUGUGCCUUCUUAGAGCUUUGAAGGCUCUGGGUCUGUAUAACCUAAACUUCU